UACAAACCUGAUAUAAUGGCGGGUCAUUUCAAGAGCAGCCUAGGUUGGGAGUGUUAAAUUUUACGCAAAAAGGGAAAAAAUAACGGUAGAAACCAGCUCAGCUUUUAGAAAUUUGCUUAAAUUGAAAAAUCAGGGCGCAGAGAAGGAAGCUCUUGGCUCUUAAAGAUAUUUCUCGGACUCCUAUUCAAUGAAAUAGUGGCGGGAAAAUCUUAGUCUUCUUUAACAGCAGCACGGAAGCAAAAAAUUUAUGUAAUCCUGAGUGACAUGCAUAUCCAUUGCAAGAGCCGUUUGAAAACAAUAUCUGUGGGGACCCAUUAGACAUGAAAGGAAAUAUUGCUUUAAUAUAUACAUCAUGCAUACAUAAAUAUUGGUUAGAAUGAGUCAAUUUCAAAGGCAGUCGAUUCAACAGCAUAAACAACUUCCUAUGCCUCUCCAAGAUCUUCAGUAUACUUGUUUCGUAAGCAAGAUGAUGCCAUUGCUUAAAGGAAUCAGUCAAAUGAUUCUUUGAAUGACUCGCAUUGUGACUAAAGAAUUCUUUAUCCGAUUACGCAAUAAUAGCCGAAUAAAAAAGUAGUGUGGAAGUACUACGGCUCUACGGCUAUGGCCGAGAGAAAACGCAAUUACCCUUGAUCGAUCAUUGAAAAAUAGGACGAAUGUCUUUUUCAACAUAAAAAUAAACAUUUCAAACCAGCAUAUAAUGAACAGGCCAAGUUAGAUCUUCUUUAUGUUAUAUGUUGUGUUAUAGACUACUAAUCUCUUGAUUUAGACGUACGAAUGAUUAAAAAUGCCUUAACUUGGUAAAUGUCAAAAAAGCGCUUCGCGCGCUUAUCGUGGUUUGUGCCUUCACAAAGUCACAGAUGUGUUCGUCAGUCUGCAAAAAGUAUGUUAAUGCCCUCGAACACCACUUGUCUUGUCUGACUGCUUAUUUUCCUUCAUUUUUUAACUCGACGACCAAUCACUGAGGCGAUGCCUCUUAUUCUUGUAAUACGGUGAUGGUCGAAAAGAAGUGAGGAAAGAGAAAGAGAUAGAAAAGCGGUCGGAACUUAGUGGGUGUGUGCUCAAUCGGUAAGUGUUAUCCCUCUAUCAGCUGAGCAUUCACUGUAAUUAAAACCAAAAGUAAACUCGACGCACUGAGAUGUGAGCCCAAGAACACGGACUUGGUAGAUGCGAUUCUUAACUGCUCGGCU